AUGCUGGACAGAAUUGAUGAUGUUCCAGAAGAAAGAUUAAGAGCCUUACAGGAAAUUGAAAAAGAAAAGUUAAGAGUAGCUAAGGCUUAUAACAAAAGGGUGAGGGAAAAAUCGUUUCAAAUAGGAGACUUGGUGUGGAAAACGAUUUUGCCUGUUGGAACUAGGAACAAUAAAUUCGGCAAGUGGUCGCCGAGUUGGGAAGGCCCAUAUAGAGUUGUUGAAAUUGUUCCUGGGAAUUCAUAUUUUGUAAAAUCUUUGCAUGGGGAGAAAUUGCCUAAAGCUCUCAAUGGAAAAUAUUUAAAGAAGUAUUAUCCUAGUAUGUGGCAGGAGGCUUGA
rnacentral:rRNA from 1 species